rnacentral:lncRNA from 1 species
AUGAGGGGAAAGCGACGACCCCGGCGCGGUCCGCACGGGGAGGCCCAGGUUUGGGAGGGAGGAGCCGGGAAGGCCUCUUCCCGGCGAGCAGAGCCCGGCCAGGGGCUCGCGGCGGAGGCGGGGCCUGCCGUCCGCGCGCCGGGGGCGGGGGUCCGCUCCGGGAAAGCCGCGCCGCGGGGGCUGGGGCGGGGCCUCGGCGGUCCCGCCCCCCGCGCAGGUAGCCAAUGGGCGCGGCGGCGCCGGGUGACGGAGGGAGCCGAAGUGCGAGUGCCGCGGCGGCAGCGGCGGCGGACGGCCCGGCCCGAGCGCGGGGGUCUCGCGGAGGGCGCGGGGGCGCGGGGGCGCAGAGCCGGGGACCCCGGGACCCGGGAGGCGGCGCGGCCCGGGCCUCCGGAGGAGCGCAGGCGGCCCGGCGGCGGCGCGAUGCCGCUCGCCCAGCUCAAGGAGCCCUGGCCGCUCAUGGAGCUGGUGCCGCUGGACCCGGAGGUGAGUGAGCGGGGCGGGGGACGGGCGCCGGCGGCCGGCGAGCCUGGGUCCCCACGGGGGCGGGGCGGCUCGCGGCGCCGCUGCAGCCUGGCGGGCGCCCUCGAGGGCGCGAGUGCACUCCGAUCUCUUGCCCUUCCUCGGCUCCACCCCCCGUGCCCCGGGUGUGAGUGCGUGCGUGAGGGACAGUUCCGCCAAGCGCCCAGGACCCCCUUAGCUCGGAGAGGGGGGUCCCGCGGGGCGCUGGGAUCUGGCUGGUCUCGCCCCACACACCUACGACCUGUACCGGGAGCUGUCGGAGCGUCCUCUGUCAGCGCAGAUGGGCAGGGCUGCGGUGCCAGAUGUCUGGGAUUCUACAGGAGACAAGGGUCAUGGGAACCCCACGUCUCCUUGACGUCUCCCAGCGCCUUACCCCGAGAGCUCCCCGCUUCUCUGUUGCUGACCCUAGCAGGAUUACCCCUCUCGGCACUUGGCAGUUGUGGAAUAUGGGGUGACACCACCCGUCUAGGGCUGAAACUCUUGGUUUUCCUUGCCCCAGGGCUAGGGCCAGAGGAUACCUGUGUCCCCUACCCUAGGCUGUGGAGAAGAGACAGGGGAAGAGCCCUUAGACCUUGUGAAGAUUAUCCCAGGAGACAGAGAGGACCUUGGUGCCUGCCUCCUUUCUUGUGA